GGGCCUUGCUGUGGGCUGGCUCCCUGGGAGCCCAGGCACCCCGGCAGCCUCCAGUGCGGUGUGGAAGUCCAGCUCCCACCCGGCUAAUUCAAUAAGUCACAGAUACCAUGACUUCAUAAGGCACAGAGGCUCCACAGCUAUUAGGGGAAUUGGGAGCGGGGGGAGGAGCAGCUGAAAUGGAGAAGGGAUGGAGACGGGGAGGGUGGAGAGGGGGAAGCUAAGACAAGCAGCAGAACAAAACAUCCCAUAAAUCAUGAGGAGCUGCUGAAAUACCAGAACAAAUGACCCCAUAGCUUGGCCAUUGUUCCCGAGCGAGGGCUUAAAGCGCUCCCAGUCGAGACAAAGCGCCUCCCGUUUCGUUUCAACACCGCGCCGGCCCAGCCGGGACCUGUGCUCGGCACAGCCGGGCUGGGGGAGGCUCUGCUCCACCCCAGCUCCGUGGUGGGGCCUCCAGGAUGAAGCACCGGGCAGAGGACAGCAGCACCUGCGUGUGCCACCUCUGCCAACCAGAUGGUGCCAACGCGGUUCCUGCAUCCGGUGGCUCCUGCCCACUUGGCACCUUCCAGCUGGGCCUCUGUGCUCUGCACUGGGGGCAGAUCCCUGCGCAUCCCAGUUCUCGGCAGCAGGGAAGCGAGGAGCUGGGAUCCAGCACCGUGCCAGGGCUCAGGCAGGAACACAAGCCGCAGGCAGGGCUGAGCCCGAGGCGGCCGCCUGUCGCCAACCACCAGACACGCGGCUGCCAGCGCGGCCUCGGCGCUUGUGGUGGGCAGCCAAGGAGCAGAACCGAGAUAACGGGAUGGGGGAGAGAGGAAUGCGCUGCAUUUUUCCUGAGCCACCAAGGGAAUUGGCUAUUCUGACCGUGGAUCGCAGCAAGGCUGUCUGACAGGAACAACUCCAGGAGCCCAAAUAGGAAAAACAGCCACACACCCUGCGAGCCCCGGCAUGGACCAUCCGGCAAAGACAAGGAGAAGGGAAUCAGCAAACCUGGACAAAACCAGACAUGUGCAGCCCCCAGGUUUCUCCCCCAAGACUGGGAAAGAUCCCUGCAAUGCUUCUCUCCAGGCACCUCCCAGCAGCAGGACAGCAGCUCACGGGAGCAAUGGGCUGAGGUGAUCAGGCACAUUCACAGCCUGAACACUGGGGACUUUGUGGGGCUGGCUUUAA